UACGUAGGCAGCGAGCGUUGCUCGGAAUUACUGGGCGUAAAGCGCACGUAGGCGGUCUUUUAAGUCGGGGGUGAAAUCCUGGAGCUCAACUCCAGAACUGCCUUUGAUACUGAGGAUCUUGAGUUCGGGAGAGGUGAGUGGAACUGCGAGUGUAGAGGUGAAAUUCGUAGAUAUUCGCAAGAACACCAGUGGCGAAGGCGGCUCACUGGCCCGAUACUGACGCUGAGGCACGAAAGCGUGGGGAGCAAACAGG
rnacentral:rRNA from 1 species